AAUGGUUAAGUUAGAAAGGGCGCACGGUGAAUGCCUUGGCACUAGGAGCCGAUGAAGGACGGGACUAACACCGAUAUGCUUCGGGGAGCUGUAAGUGAGCUUUGAUCCGGAGAUUUCCGAAUGGGGAAACCCACUGUUCGUAAUGGAACAGUAUCUUUAUCUGAAUACAUAGGAUAUUGAAGGCAGACCCGGGGAACUGAAACAUCUAAGUACCCGGAGGAAGAGAAAGCAAAUGCGAUUUCCUGAGUAGCGGCGAGCGAAACGGAAUUAGCCCAAACCAAGAGGCUUGCCUCUUGGGGUUGUAGGACACUCUAUACGGAGUUACAAAGGAACGAAGUAAAUGAAGCGACCUGGAAAGGUCCGUCAAAGAAGGUAACAACCCUGUAGUUGAAACUUCGUUCCCUCUUGAGUGGAUCCUGAGUACGGCGGAACACGUGAAAUUCCGUCGGAAGCUGGGAGGACCAUCUCCCAAGGCUAAAUACUACCUAGUGACCGAUAGUGAACCAGUACCGUGAGGGAAAGGUGAAAAGCACCCCGGAAGGGGAGUGAAAGAGAUCCUGAAACCGUGUGCCUACAAGUAGUCAGAGCCCGUUAAUGGGUGAUGGCGUGCCUUUUGUAGAAUGAACCGGCGAGUUACGAUCCCAUGCAAGGUUAAGCUGAUAAGGCGGAGCCGUAGCGAAAGCGAGUCUGAAUAGGGCGUUUAGUAUGUGGUUGUAGACCCGAAACCAGGUGAUCUACCCAUGUCCAGGGUGAAGUUCAGGUAACACUGAAUGGAGGCCCGAACCCACGCACGUUGAAAAGUGCGGGGAUGAGGUGUGGGUAGCGGAGAAAUUCCAAUCGAACCUGGAGAUAGCUGGUUCUCUCCGAAAUAGCUUUAGGGCUAGCCUCAUGUUGUGAGAGUCUUGGAGGUAGAGCACUGAUUGGACUAGGGGCCCCCAACGGGUUACCGAAUUCAGUCAAACUCCGAAUGCCAAAGACUUAUCCAUGGGAGUCAGACUGCGAGUGAUAAGAUCCGUAGUCAAAAGGGAAACAGCCCAGACCACCAGCUAAGGUCCCCAAGUAUACGUUAAGUGGAAAAGGAUGUGGAGUUGCUUAGACAACCAGGAUGUUGGCUUAGAAGCAGCCACCAUUUAAAGAGUGCGUAAUAGCUCACUGGUCGAGUGACUCUGCGCCGAAAAUGUACCGGGGCUAAACGUAUCACCGAAGCUGUGGAUUGACAUCUUUNNNNNNNNNNNNNNNNNNNNNNNNNNNNNNNNNCGAAGUCAGACCGUAAGGACUGGUGGAGCGCUUAGAAGUGAGAAUGCCGGUAUGAGUAGCGAAAGACAAGUGAGAAUCUUGUCCACCGAAUGCCUAAGGUUUCCUGAGGAAGGCUCGUCCGCUCAGGGUUAGUCGGGACCUAAGCCGAGGCUGAAAAGCGUAGGCGAUGGCCAACAGGUUGAUAUUCCUGUACCACCUCCCCGCCGUUUGAGUAAUGGGGGGACGCAGUAGGAUAGGGUAAGCGCGCUGCUGGAUAUGCGCGUUCAAGCAGUUAGGCUGAUGAGUAGGCAAAUCCGCUCAUCAUAAAGGCUGAGCUGUGAUGACGAGGGAAUUAUAGUACCGAAGUUCCUGAUUCCACACUGCCAAGAAAAGCCUCUAGCGAGGCGGGAGGUGCCCGUACCGCAAACCGACACAGGUAGGCGAGGAGAGAAUCCUAAGGUGAUCGAGAGAACUCUCGUUAAGGAACUCGGCAAAAUGACCCCGUAACUUCGGGAGAAGGGGUGCUCUGGUAGGGUGUAUAGCCCGAGAGAGCCGCAGUGAAUAGGCCCAGGCGACUGUUUAGCAAAAACACAGGUCUCUGCGAAGCCGCAAGGCGAAGUAUAGGGGCUGACGCCUGCCCGGUGCUGGAAGGUUAAGAGGAGGGGUUAUCCUUUGGGAGAAGCUCUGAAUCGAAGCCCCAGUAAACGGCGGCCGUAACUAUAACGGUCCUAAGGUAGCGAAAUUCCUUGUCGGGUAAGUUCCGACCCGCACGAAAGGCGUAACGAUCUGGGCACUGUCUCAACGAGAGACUCGGUGAAAUUAUAGUACCUGUGAAGAUGCAGGUUACCCGCGACAGGACGGAAAGACCCCGUGGAGCUUUACUGUAGCCUGAUAUUGAAUUUUGGUACAGCUUGUACAGGAUAGGUAGGAGCCUGAGAAGCCGGAGCGCUAGCUUCGGUGGAGGCGUCGGUGGGAUACUACCCUGGCUGUAUUGAAAUUCUAACCCGCGGCCCUGAUCGGGCCGGGAGACAGUGUCAGGUGGGCAGUUUGACUGGGGCGGUCGCCUCCUAAAAUGUAACGGAGGCGCCCAAAGGUUCCCUCAGAAUGGUUGGAAAUCAUUCGUAGAGUGUAAAGGCACAAGGGAGCUUGACUGCGAGACCUACAAGUCGAGCAGGGACGAAAGUCGGGCUUAGUGAUCCGGUGGUUCCGCAUGGAAGGGCCAUCGCUCAACGGAUAAAAGCUACCCCGGGGAUAACAGGCUUAUCUCCCCCAAGAGUCCACAUCGACGGGGAGGUUUGGCACCUCGAUGUCGGCUCAUCGCAUCCUGGGGCUGUAGUCGGUCCCAAGGGUUGGGCUGUUCGCCCAUUAAAGCGGUACGCGAGCUGGGUUCAGAACGUCGUGAGACAGUUCGGUCCCUAUCCGUCGUGGGCGUAGGAAAUUUGAGAGGAGCUGUCCUUAGUACGAGAGGACCGGGAUGGACACACCGCUGGUGUACCAGUUGUCUUGCCAAAGGCAUCGCUGGGUAGCUAUGUGUGGACGGGAUAAGUGCUGAAAGCAUCUAAGCAUGAAGCCCCCCUCAAGAUGAGAUUUCCCAUAGCGCAAGCUAGUAAGAUCCCUGAAAGAUGAUCAGGUUGAUAGGUCAGAGGUGGAAGCGUGGCGACAUGUGUAGCUGACUGAUACUAAUCGAUCGAGGACUUAACCAAA
rnacentral:rRNA from 1 species